AAAUAAUAAAUAUCAAGGUGAGAAACAUAAGUACUGUACAGAGAGGAGUUAUGGAUAUGAUGGCUACAAGCUGGAGAUUAACUCCACAGAGUUUGCCACUAUUAUCACCAAAAGUCAAAAGCUUCAGGGUUUAUAGCUCUUCUUCGUCUUCGUCACUCUCGCUAUCUCCCAUAAUCCAAAAGACCUCAUCUCUGAUUCAAAAUUCUGGUGUUAUUGCUUGCCUUCGCGCCAAUAGUGCAGAGCUUGCAUACGAAGCUGCAACUGCUGCACUGAAUGGUGGCAUCUCUGUUCUGGAGAUUGUGAUGUCCACACCAGGUGUGUUUCAGGUUUUAAGGCAGUUGGUGAAGGACUAUCCUACAUUGGCUUUGGGGGUUGGUACUGCUUUAAAUGCUGAGGAUGCCAGAAACGCAACGAAUGCUGGAGCCAAAUUCUUCAUGAGUCCUGCUACAGUGAAGGACAUUAUGGACGAUGUUGUGAAGGAUGAAAUUCUAUACAUACCUGGUGUAAUGACACCCACAGAAAUACUGUCUGCAUAUGAUGCCGGUGCUAAAAUGGUCAAGGUUUAUCCUGUUUCUGCAUUAGGUGGUGUCCAAUAUAUAUCAGCACUCAAGAAGCCUUUCCCUCACAUACCAAUGGUUGCUUCUCAGGGCAUCAAGAUAGAUUCUAUAGGGGAGUAUAUAUCUUCUGGAGCAUCAUCCGUUGUUUUAUCAGAUGCCAUUUUUGAUAAAGGGGCGAUGACCCAGAGAAAUUUCAAUGUAAUACAUCAACUUGCAAGCCUUGCUGCUUUGGAGGGAAAAGAAGCUGUUGAACGAAAAAGAAGUUGCACCACAAAUUAAUUGCCUCAGUAGAGCCUACAGAUUGUAUUCCUCAACAUCUAUACUUGACUAUCUCCGAAGCGUCUACAAGGUUCUGACGAUGUUAAACUGUUGAUGCAUCCAGCAAGGAAAAGAUACUGACUGAGACUGGAAAAUGAAGGUUUCUAGGAUCUUGUUGAAAAGUUCUAUAUCAUGUGAAAGAAAGGAAAAGAUCAGAAGAUUCAUGCAUAAAGGUAAUCCAUGCGUGAAGCUGCAACUUGCUCUGCUGAGAGCUUCCCAGGUGACUAUGUCCAAGCCAUAGGAGACAGGGAGGGGUGCGAAAUAAUUAAUUUAACUAGGUUUUUAACUAUUUAAUCGAUCUGGUUAAACCUGUUUAAUUAACAUAAAUAAUUGUUUUUUAAGAAUAAAAUAAUAUUCUUCUAAUAAAAAUGAUUAAUUUAAUAAUUAUACUUUUCAAAUUA